AACGUAGGUACCGAGCGUUAUCCGGAUUUACUGGGCGUAAAGCGUGUUCAGGCGGCCUAGCAAGUCGGGCAUGAAAUCUCUCGGCUCAACCGGGAGAGGCUGUCCGAUACUGCUGGGCUUGAGGACGGUAGAGGGUGGUGGAAUUCCGCGUGUAGUGGUGAAAUGCGUAGAUAUGCGGAGGAACACCAGUGGCGAAGGCGGCCACCUGGACCGUCCCUGACGCUCAAACACGAAAGCUAGGGUAGCGAACGGGG
rnacentral:rRNA from 1 species